rnacentral:lncRNA from 1 species
ACACCACACCCUUCUUUUUUUUCUCUGCUUAAAGUCUGACAAGAUCUCGUUCCCUUCUACUCAAAGUGGUUUCUUAUUAGAAGCAAUUAAGAGCUUCCGGCUCUCUUACCUCCCCCACGGAUCAGAAGCUCUUCGAGGAGUGGCUUGAAAGUCUUCUUUAGUGCUCUCCCACGGCCUAGAACAGGCUGCACAGCCUAUAUACACAAAUUUUAAGUGAUUAAUAAAUAAAUAGCUGACAUAAAAAGGGAGAGAUGCUUCAUUAGACAUAAAUGUCCUGUUUUCCCUCUGCUUCUUGUUUUCUCUUAGCUGCUGUAAGGCAUCAGUGAUGAAAAUAUAGAAGUCGAUUACAUAGUGUCAGAGAAGUGGUGCUCCAUAAACUUGAAUAAACAUAAAUAAAUAUCCACGCGGUUCUGGGGAAAUCGCUCAGGAUGUUUGGAACAGGUGCUUUGUGGCCACCUUUAGAGGGGAUAGCAUCACCGUAAGUUGGAAAUGGAAUGUAGAGUGUAAAGUAACAGUCUAUUUGUCCACGCGGGGAAAUAAAGGAUCCUGUAAGGCUUUCUUAAACUUGAAAAAUGAGUGCCUACGAACUGGGUUCUUCCGACCCUUAACAAAAUUGAAAGGGGAAAAAAAGGUAUCCGCGGAUGUUUUCAAUGGGGCAACCUGGAAGAAGCGAAGCAAAGAUUCAAGACUCUCCAUAAAGGGAGCGAAAGGAGAGACGUUUUUGUGUGCUUUCUGCCUUCGGGGCAGCAUGGGCGGGACGGAGAAUGGAGUGAGACUGCAAGGGGGUGUCAGGUGUGUGGGGAGCGGAGGGGACGAGGCGGGGGUCGAGUCCCGCACCUGGUGGCUUCGCUGCGCACCUGCAAGGGCGGCGCUCCCGGGAGAGGGAGCAGCCCCGAACUAUGACGCGGGACACGGGCGCUGGCCCGAAGGGUACCCAGCGGCCCGGGGCAGAACCUCUCCCCCAACCCGGCCGUCUCGGACCCCGGAACUCUCUCUAACACCCUGGCGGCCCCUCCCUGGCAGGUCGGGCUUUUGGUCUGGGAUCAGGGUUCCUCCCCUACUGGCCGCGCGCGGUCAGGGUGCAGGCGCCCCUCCUGCAUUCCCCUCCGGGGCCGGGGCCUCUCGGGUUGGUUUUAUUCCCCCUUCCCCACUCCGCUGCCCGCCCCCCACAUGGUGCCCGACCCUCGGAGGAACGCGGU